GACGAACGCUGGCGGCGUGCUUAACACAUGCAAGUCGAACGCUGAAGCUCAGCUUUUGUUGGGUGGAUGAGUGGCGAACGGGUGAGUAACACGUGAGUAACCUGCCCCCUUCUUUGGGAUAACGCCCGGAAACGGGUGCUAAUACUGGAUAUUCACUGGUCUUCGCAUGGGGGUUGGUGGAAAGGGUUUUUCUGGUGGGGGAUGGGCUCGCGGCCUAUCAGCUUGUUGGUGGGGUGAUGGCCUACCAAGGCUUUGACGGGUAGCCGGCCUGAGAGGGUGACCGGUCACAUUGGGACUGAGAUACGGCCCAGACUCCUACGGGAGGCAGCAGUGGGGAAUAUUGCACAAUGGGCGCAAGCCUGAUGCAGCGACGCCGCGUGAGGGAUGGAGGCCGUCGGGUUGUGAACCUCUUUCGCUAAUGGUCAAGCCGCAACAAUGGUUGUGGUGAGGGUAGUGGGUAAAGAAGCGCCGGCUAACUACGUG
rnacentral:rRNA from 1 species